UGACAUUGAUGAGAUCUUUACUCCUAAACUGAUCUAUUGAUGAGAAAUUACGGAUCUGAUUCCUGAGUU